AUUGAACGCUGGCGGCAGGCCUAACACAUGCAAGUCGAGCGGAUGAAGGGAGCUUGCUCCUGGAUUCAGCGGCGGACGGGUGAGUAAUGCCUAGGAAUCUGCCUGGUAGUGGGGGAUAACGUCCGGAAACGGGCGCUAAUACCGCAUACGUCCUGAGGGAGAAAGUGGGGGAUCUUCGGACCUCACGCUAUCAGAUGAGCCUAGGUCGGAUUAGCUAGUUGGUGGGGUAAAGGCCUACCAAGGCGACGAUCCGUAACUGGUCUGAGAGGAUGAUCAGUCACCCUGGAACUGAGACACGGUCCCGACUCCUACGGGAGGCAGCAGUGGGGAAUAUUGGACAAUGGGCGAAAGCCUGAUCCAGCCAUGCCGCGUGUGUGAAGAAGGUCUUCGGAUUGUAAAGCACUUUAAGUUGGGAGGAAGGGCAGUAAGUUAAUACCUUGCUGUUUUGACGUUACCAACAGAAUAAGCACCGGCUAACUUCGUG
rnacentral:rRNA from 1 species